GGGGGUGUAGCUUAGAAAUAGAGCGUUCGCUUCGCAUGCGAAAACUCAGGAGUUCGAAUCCCCGCUCCCGUA